UGAACGCUGGCGGCGUGCCUAACACAUGCAAGUCGUACGAGAAAUCCCGAGCUUGCUUGGGAGAGUAAAGUGGCGCACGGGUGAGUAGCGCGUGGGUAACCCACCUUCGAAUCUGGGAUAACUCCGCGAAAGCGGUGCUAAUACCGGAUAAGACCACAUUCCGUUCGCGGAAAGAGGUAAAAGCUGACCUCUCCAUGGAAGUUAGCGUUCGAGGACGGGCCCGCGUCCUAUCAGCUUGUUGGUGGGGUAAUGGCCUACCAAGGCUGCGACGGUAGCUGGUCUGAGAGGAUGAUCAGCCACACUGGAACUGGAACACGGUCCAGACUCCUACGGGAGGCAGCAGUGAGGAAUUUUGCGCAAUGGGGGAAACCCUGACGCAGCAACGCCGCGUGGGUGAAGAAGGCUUUCGAGUCGUAAAGCCCUGUCAGGUGGGAAGAAACUCUUCAGCACUAAUAAUGCUGAAGCUUGACGGUACCACCAGAGGAAGCACCGGCCAACUCCGUG
rnacentral:rRNA from 1 species